ACACCAGACUCCUACGGGAGGCAGCAGUGGGGAAUAUUGCACAAUGGGGGAAACCCUGAUGCAGCGACGCCGCGUGAGUGAAGAAGUAUUUCGGUAUGUAAAGCUCUAUCAGCAGGGAAGAAGAAGGACGGUACCUGAGUAAGAAGCCCCGGCUAACUACGUGCCAGCAGCCGCGGUAAUACGUAGGGGGCAAGCGUUAUCCGGAUUUACUGGGUGUAAAGGGAGCGUAGACGGCCAUGCAAGCAUGGAGUGAAAGCCCGGGGCCCAACCCCGGGACUGCUCUGGGAACUGUGCGGCUGGAGUGCGGGAGGGGCAGGCGGAAUUCCUGGUGUAGCGGUGAAAUGCGUAGAUAUCAGGAGGAACACCGGCGGCGAAGGCGGAUUGCUGGACAGUAACUGGCGCUGAGGCGCGAAAGCGUGGGGAGCAAACAGGAUUAGAUACCCCGGUAC
rnacentral:rRNA from 1 species